rnacentral:rRNA from 1 species
AAACCAGCACCUCAAGUGGUCAGGAUGAUUAUUGGGCCUAAAGCAUCCGUAGCCUGUUCUAUAAGUUUCCGGUUAAAUCCACUAGCUCAACUAGUGGGCUGCCGAAAAUACUGUAGAACUAGGGAGUGGGAGAGGUAGACGGUAUUCGGUAGGAAGGGGUAAAAUCCUUUGAUCUAUUGAGGACCACCUGUGGCGAAGGCGGUCUACCAGAACACGUUCGACGGUGAGGGAUGAAAGCUGGGGGAGCAAGCCGGAUUAGAUACCCGAGUAGUCC